GAUGAACGCUGGCGGCGUGCCUAAUACAUGCAAGUCGAGCGAAUGGAUUGAGAGCUUGCUCUUAUGAAGUUAGCGGCGGACGGGUGAGUAACACGUGGGUAACCUGCCCAUAAGACUGGGGUAACUCCGGGAAACCGGGGCUAAUACCGGAUAACAUUUUGAACCGCAUGGUUCGAAAUUGAAAGGCGGCUUCGGCUGUCACUUAUGGAUGGACCCGCGUAGCAUUAGCUAGUUGGUGAGGUAACGGCUCACCAAGGCAACGAUGCGUAGCCGACCUGAGAGGGUGAUCGGCCACACUGGGACUGAGACACGGCCCAGACUCCUACGGGAGGCAGCAGUAGGGAAUCUUCCGCAAUGGACGAAAGUCUGACGGAGCAACGCCGCGUGAGUGAUGAAGGCUUUCGGGUCGUAAAACUCUGUUGUUAGGGAAGAACAAGUGCUAGUUGAAUAAGCUGGCACCUUGACGGUACCUAACCAGAAAGCCACGGCUAACUACGUGCCAGCCGCCGCAGUAA
rnacentral:rRNA from 1 species